rnacentral:rRNA from 1 species
CAUUACAGAGUUACUACUCCAAACCCAUUGUGAACCUUACCUAUGUUCUGUUGCCUCGGCGGCGUCGGUCAGCGCCCCUCUGAAAAGAGGACGAUGCCCCUCCCGCCGGCAGCACCAAACUCUUGAAUUUUACAGCGGAUUACAGUUCUGAUUUGAAAACAAAAAAAACAAGUUAAAACUUUCAACAACGGAUCUCUUGGUUCUGGCAUCGAUGAAGAACGCAGCGAAAUGCGAUAAGUAAUGUGAAUUGCAGAAUUCAGUGAAUCAUCGAAUCUUUGAACGCACAUUGCGCCCGGCAGUAAUCUGCCGGGCAUGCCUGUCCGAGCGUCAUUUCAACCCUCGAACCUCCGUUUCCUCAGGGAAGCCCAGGGUCGGUGUUGGGGCGCUACGGCGAGUCUUCGCGACCCCCGUAGGCCCUGAAAUACAGUGGCGGUCCCGCCGCGGUUGCCUUCUGCGUAGUAAGUCUCUUUUGCAAGCUCGCAUUGGGUCCCGGCGGAGGCCUGCCGUCAAACCACCUAAUAACUCCAGAUGGUU